GUGGGGAUUAGUGGCGAACGGGUGAGUAACACGUGGGCAAUCUGCCCUGCACUCUGGGACAAGCCCUGGAAACGGGGUCUAAUACCGGAUACUGAUCCUCGCAGGCAUCUGCGAGGUUCGAAAGCUCCGGCGGUGCAGGAUGAGCCCGCGGCCUAUCAGCUAGUUGGUGAGGUAAUGGCUCACCAAGGCGACGACGGGUAGCCGGCCUGAGAGGGCGACCGGCCACACUGGGACUGAGACACGGCCCAGACUCCUACGGGAGGCAGCAGUGGGGAAUAUUGCACAAUGGGCGAAAGCCUGAUGCAGCGACGCCGCGUGAGGGAUGACGGCCUUCGGGUUGUAAACCUCUUUCAGCAGGGAAGAAGCGAAAGUGACGGUACCUGCAGAAGAAGCGCCGGCUAACUACGUGCCAGCAGCCGCGGUAAUACGUAGGGCGCAAGCGUUGUCCGGAAUUAUUGGGCGUAAAGAGCUCGUAGGCGGCUUGUCACGUCGGUUGUGAAAGCCCGGGGCUUAACCCCGGGUCUGCAGUCGAUACGGGCAGGCUAGAGUUCGGUAGGGGAGAUCGGAAUUCCUGGUGUAGCGGUGAAAUGCGCAGAUAUCAGGAGGAACACCGGUGGCGAAGGCGGAUCUCUGGGCCGAUACUGACGCUGAGGAGCGAAAGCGUGGGGAGCGAACAGGAUUAGAUACCCUGGUAGUCCACGCCGUAAACGGUGGGCACUAGGU
rnacentral:rRNA from 1 species